rnacentral:rRNA from 1 species
AGGCUAAUAUCCUAAUAAAAGACAAGAAGACCCUGUAGAGCUUAUUUUUAACCUUUCUUCUAAAGGCCAAAAAUUUUGUUGGGGCGACAAAGGAGAAUAAAUAACCUCCCUCUUUCAAAGACUGAUAAGUCUUUUCCUAAACCCCUCACCAGGGAUAAAAGAAAGCUACCUCAGGGAUAACAGGCUAAUUCUUCUUGAGAGUUCUAAUCGACAGAAGAGAUUGGCACCUCGAUGUUGGCUUAGGGCCCCUACCUCCCGCAGAAGGGAGGAAAGGUGGUUUGUUCAACCAUUUAACCCCU